GAUGAACGCUGGCGGCGUGCCUAAUACAUGCAAGUCGAGCGAACAGACGAGGAGCUUGCUCCUCUGACGUUAGCGGCGGACGGGUGAGUAACACGUGGAUAACCUACCUAUAAGACUGGGAUAACUUCGGGAAACCGGAGCUAAUACCGGAUAAUAUAUUGAACCGCAUGGUUCAAUAGUGAAAGACGGUUUUGCUGUCACUUAUAGAUGGAUCCGCGCCGCAUUAGCUAGUUGGUAAGGUAAUGGCUUACCAAGGCAACGAUGCGUAGCCGACCUGAGGGGGUGAUCGGCCACACUGGAACUGAGACACGGUCCAGACUCCUACGGGAGGCAGCAGUAGGGAAUCUUCCGCAAUGGGCGAAAGCCUGACGGAGCAACGCCGCGUGAGUGAUGAAGGUCUUCGGAUCGUAAAACUCUGUUAUUAGGGAAGAACAAAUGUGUAAGUAACUAUGCACGUCUUGACGGUACCUAAUCAGAAAGCCACGGCUAACUACGUG
rnacentral:rRNA from 1 species